rnacentral:rRNA from 1 species
AGCGAACGCUGGCGGCAGGCCUAACACAUGCAAGUCGAACGAACCUUUCGGGGUUAGUGGCGGACGGGUGAGUAACACGUGGGAACGUGCCUUUAGGUUCGGAAUAACUCAGGGAAACUUGUGCUAAUACCGAAUGUGCCCUUCGGGGGAAAGAUUAAUCGCCUUUAGAGCGGCCCGCGUCUGAUUAGCUAGUUGUUUGAGGUAAUGGCUCACCAAGGCGACGAUCAGUAGCUGGUCUGAGAGGAUGAUCAGACACAUUGGGACUGAGACACGGCGCAAACUACUACGGGAGGCAGCAGUGGGGAAUCUUGCGAAAUGGGCGAAAGCCUGACGCAGCCAUGCCGCGUGAAUGAUGAAGGUCUUAGGAUUGUAAAAUUCUUUCACCGGGGACGAUAAUGACGGUACCCGGAGAAGAAGCCCCGGCUAACUUCGUG